rnacentral:rRNA from 1 species
UACGUAGGGUGCGAGCGUUAAUCGGAAUUACUGGGCGUAAAGGGUGUGUAGGCGGAUAUUUAAGUUAGAUGUGAAAAGCCUGAGCUUAACUUAGGUCGUGCAUUUAAGACUGGAUGUCUAGAGUUUGUGAGAGGGGAGCAGAAUUCCAAGUGUAGCAGUGAAAUGCGUAGAGAUUUGGAGGAAUACCAAUGGCGUAGGCAGCUCCCUGGCAUAGAACUGACGCUGAAACACGAAAGCGUGGGUAGCAAACAGG